AUACCGGCUGCUCGAGUGAUGGCCACUAUUACUGGGUUUAAAGCGUCCGUAGCUUGACUGUUAGGUCUCUUGGGAAAUCUUCACGCUCAACGUGAAGGCGUCUAAGAGAUACCGGCAGUCUUGGAACUGGGAGAGGUAAACCGUACUUCGGGGGUAGGAGUGAAAUCUUGUAAUCCUCGAGGGACGACCUAUGGCGAAGGCAGUUUACCAGAACAGCUUCGACAGUGAGGGACGAAAGCUGGGGGAGCAAACGGGAUUAGAUACCCCGGUAGUCCCAGCCGUAAACAAUGUGCGUUAGGUGUGUCGGUAACCACGUGUUACUGAUGCGCCGAAGAGAAAUCGUGAAACGCACCACCUGGGAAGUACGGUCGCAAGGCUGAA
rnacentral:rRNA from 1 species